rnacentral:rRNA from 1 species
GAUUGAGAGUUUGAUCCUGGCUCAGGACGAACGCUGGCGGCGUGCCUAACACAUGCAAGUCGAACGGAGUAUCAAAAGGAAGCUUGCGAAUUUUAUACUUAGUGGCGGACGGGUGAGUAACGCGUGGAUAACCUGCCUGAUAGCCUGGGAUAACAGCUGGAAACGGCUGCUAAUACCGGAUACGCUUGCGGAGUCGCAUGGCUCUGCAAGGAAAGAUUUAUUACUAUCAGAUGGAUCCGCGUCCCAUUAGCUAGUUGGUGGUGUAGAGGACCCCCAAGGCGACGAUGGGUAGCCGGCCUGAGAGGGCGAACGGCCACACUGGGACUGAGACACGGCCCAGACUCCUACGGGAGGCAGCAGUGGGGAAUCUUCCGCAAUGGGCGAAAGCCUGACGGAGCAACGCCGCGUGAGGGAAGAAGGCCUUCGGGUUGUAAACCUCUGUUUUCAGGGAAGAAAGAAAUGACGGUACCUGAAGAGUAAGCUCCGGCUAACUACGUGCCAGCAGCCGCGGUAAUACGUAGGGAGCAAGCGUUGUCCGGAUUUACUGGGCGUAAAGGGCGCGUAGGUGGUCCAUUAAGUUAUAGGUGAAAGUUCGGGGCUCAACCCCGUGAUUGCCUGUGAUACUGGUGGACUUGAGUGCAGGAGAGGGGAGCAGAAUUCCCAGUGUAGCGGUGAAAUGCGUAGAUAUUGGGAGGAAUACCAGUGGCGAAGGCGGCUCUCUGGACUGUAACUGACACUGAGGCGCGAAAGCGUGGGUAGCGAACAGGAUUAGAUACCCUGGUAGUCCACGCCGUAAACGAUGAGUGCUAGGUGUUGCGGGUAUCGACCCCUGCAGUGCCGCAGUAAACACAAUAAGCACUCCGCCUGGGGAGUACGGUCGCAAGACUGAAACUCAAAGGAAUUGACGGGGGCCCGCACAAGCGGUGGAGUAUGUGGUUUAAUUCGACGCAACGCGAAGAACCUUACCAGGGCUUGACAUUGUAUGAAAAGCGUAGAGAUACGCUCCUUCAACUUCGGUUGAACAUAUAGACAGGUGGUGCAUGGUUGUCGUCAGCUCGUGUCGUGAGAUGUUGGGUUAAGUCCCGCAACGAGCGCAACCCCUAACAUUAGUUGCCAGCACGUAAAGGUGGGAACUCUAAUGUGACUGCCGUUGACAAAACGGAGGAAGGUGGGGAUGACGUCAAAUCAUCAUGCCCCUUAUGUCCUGGGCUACACACG